GUUUAUCUUUUCGGGAACAUCUAAUAAAAUUGGAACAAUGUAAAGAAUAUUAUAGCAUUGCCCAGCUUGAGGAUGACACGCAGAUCGAUAAAUAAUCCAUAUAUUG